rnacentral:rRNA from 1 species
GAUGAACGCUAGCUACAGGCUUAACACAUGCAAGUCGAGGGGUAACGAGAGGAAAGCUUGCUUUCCUUGUCGACGACCGGCGCACGGGUGAGUAACGCGUAUCCAACCUGCCCCCAACUAGGGAAUAACCUUGCGAAAGUAAGACUAAUACCCUAUAAUUUCCUCAGAUGUCAUCUGACGAGGAAUAAAGAUUUAUCGGUUGUGGAUGGGGAUGCGUCUGAUUAGCUUGUUGGCGGGGUAACGGCCCACCAAGGCAACGAUCAGUAGGGGUUCUGGGAGGAAGGUCCCCCACAGUGGAACUGAGACACGGUCCAAACUCCUACGGGAGGCAGCAGUGAGGAAUAUUGUUCAAUGGGCGGAAGCCUGAACCAGCCAAGUAGCGUGCAGGAUGACGGCCCUAUGGGUUGUAAACUGCUUUUAUACAGGAAUAAAGUUAGCCACGUGUGGUUAUUUGUAGGUACUGUAUGAAUAAGGACCGGCUAAUUCCGUGCCAGCCGCCGCGGUAA